rnacentral:misc_RNA from 1 species
AAGUCGUAACAAGGUUUCCGUAGGUGAACCUGCGGAAGGAUCAUUACAAAUCAUAAAAUGUAAGAAAGGAAAAGGAAAAAAAGAAUGAGGUUUUUAAAACGAGAAAGAAAGAGGUAAUUAGAAGUUUUUGGGGGAAAGGGAGAAAAUUGUUUUCUCUUCUUCUUACCCUUUUUUCCUCUUCUCUUUCUUUUUCUCCUCAUUUUUUAAUUCUCCCUUUCAUACCAAAAGUGCUCAGGAUCAUUAUUUUUAAUAGAUCCUGUAGACAUUUACGCUUGUUAGUGUUUGACCGAGUUUUUUUUUACUUGAAAAUUAUUGACAACUUUUAACAAUGGAUCUCUUGGCUCUU